AGGACUGGAGCCUGCGGCUUAAUUUGACUCAACACGGGAAACCUCACCAGGCCCAGACACUGGAAGGAUUGACAGAUUGAGAGCUCUUUCUUGAUUCAGUGGGUGGUGGUGCAUGGCCGUUCUUAGUUGGUGGAGCGAUUUGUCUGGUUAAUUCCGAUAACGAACGAGACUCUAGCCUACUAAAUAGACGUUACACUUUCCAGUAUCUCGAAGGCUCACAUCUCACGUUUCUUUGCUACAUUCAUUCAGCCAGCAUUUCGGUGUUUGGUUGGUGUUGUGGUUAUUGAUCGGGAGUUUGUGGUUUUUACUACUGGCGUACAUAUAAAUCUUCUUAGAGGGACAGGCGGCUUCUAGCCGCACGAGAUUGAGCAAUAACAGGUCUGUGAUGCCCUUAGAUGUUCUGGGCCG
rnacentral:rRNA from 1 species